rnacentral:rRNA from 1 species
GAGAAGGCGGGGACAGGAUGCGCGGUAAUACGUAGGGUUCAACCGUUAAUCGGAAUGUCGUGGCGUAAAGCUGGCGCAGGCGGUUUGCUAAGACCGAUGUGAAAGCCCCGGGCUCAACCUGGGAACUGCAUUGGUGACUGGCAGGCUAGAGUAUGGCAGAGGGGGGUAGAAUUCCACGUGUAGCAGUGAAAUGCGUAGAGAUGUGGAGGAAUACCGAUGGCGAAGGCAGCCCCCUGGGCCAAUACUGACGCUCAUGCACGAAAGCGUGGGGAGCAAACAGGAUUAGAUACCCUUGUAGUC